rnacentral:other from 1 species
UUUCCCCUGCGGUGUUCGCCAAGGCCAUACAUUCCUUGAACCAAUACCGAUUGGCAUCGGCCACAGCCCAGAGACGCCGCUGUUGUGAUCGCUCCUCGUGAGCGGACCUGAAGCGGCAGGAACGUGGCCCCUCUGAACCCAGGUUCAGGAUGCCGGCCAAACGGCACUCGCGGGGGAAUC